UACGUAGGGUGCAAGCGUUAAUCGGAAUUACUGGGCGUAAAGCGUGCGCAGGCGGCUUUGCAAGACAGAUGUGAAAUCCCCGGGCUCAACCUGGGAACUGCAUUUGUGACUGCAUGGCUAGAGUACGGUAGAGGGGGAUGGAAUUCCGCGUGUAGCAGUGAAAUGCGUAGAGAUCCGGAGGAACACCAGUGGCGAAAGCGGCCACCUGGACUGUACCUGACGCUGAAACGCGAAAGCUAGGGGAGCGAACGGG
rnacentral:rRNA from 1 species